rnacentral:miRNA from 1 species
ACAUACAUCCACUUUGUGCACAAAUAGAAUUUACCCUAUUAUUGUAUACCUAUUAUCUAUACCCUAUUAUUUUAUUUGUGCACAAAGUGGAUUUAUGUAA